UUUCUAGACACACUACACUUUGUGAAUUCUGUAGGGAAUGGAAACUUUAUUUCAAAAAUAAACCUUGAAGCAAUUUGAAAACACAGAGGACCUUCCUUUUUAAUGGAGCCUGAAAGUCAAGCAGGCCCACAGACUCCAGAACUGUGAGACAAUGUAUUUUUGUUGUUAAAACCACUCAGUUGGUGAUUACUGCAACUCCAGGAAACCAAUAUUGCCAAUCUGAGAGCAACUUCUCCAUUCAGCUCAGAUUGUUAUCUUCCAUGAAGGCAGCUCAGAAGUCAGAUGGACUUGAACUUGGUUCCGUCAUUUGGUAGAUCUGGGAAUGGCCUGAGAGUCUGCGUUUCCAACAAACUCCCAUGUGAAGCAGAUGCUGGCCAAUGAAAACACAUUUUAAGUAGCAAGAUACUAAAGUCACAGAGAGUGGAAAGAAAAGAAAAAAGCAAAGAAGAGAGGCGAGAAAGAAGAGAAGAUGGUGAAUAGGAGGGAAUUAUUGGGAGUUAUAUGCCUUAUAUUUUCUUCCUUCUGGAUGCCUGGAAUGUGGAUGUGAUGCACGAAGCUCUAUCAGCUAUUUUAUGACCUUGAGUAAGGACGUCACCUAUGAAGAAGCCACACACUGAGAAUGGCAGAGCCGAGAGAAGCAUCUUGGGUCCCUGGUGGUUUCGUGGAGUUGCUGUACUAUCCCUGAAGUGCCUAGUUCCAUACUCAUUUUAUGUGGAAUAAAAACCUUUGUAUGUUUCAGCCACUA